rnacentral:rRNA from 1 species
GAUCAGAUACCGUCGUAGUCUUAACUAUAAACUAUGCCGACCGGGGAUAUGAGUUGUUAGGAAUAUACGAAAGUAUAUUCAAUUUCUUCUUAUGGACCUUGUGAGAAAUCAUAAGUGUUUGGGUUCUGGGGGGAGUAUGGUCGCAAGGCUGAAACUUAAAGGAAUUGACGGAGGGGCACCACCAGGAGUGGAGCGUGCGGCUUAAUUUGACUCAACACGGGAAAACUUACCAGGUCCAGACAUUAGAAGGAUUGACAGAUUGAUAGCUCUUUCAUGAUUUGAUGGGUGGUGGUGCAUGGCCGUUCUUAGUUGGUGGAGUGAUUUGUCUGGUUAAUUCCGAUAACGAACGAGACCUUUACCAUACUAACUAGUUAUAUAUAAACUUCUGCUUAUAUAGAUGAACUUCUUAGAGGGACUAUUGGUUUACAAACCAAAGGAAGUAAAGGCGAUAACAGGUCUGUGAUGCCCUUAGAUGUUCUGGGCUGCACGCGCGCUACAAUGAUAAGAUCAUCAAGUUAUUUUUAUUGAUUUGCUUUGCCGGAAGGUAUGGCUAAUCUUAAAGUCUUAUCGUGCUUGGGAUAGAUGAUUGCAAUUAUUCAUCUCAAACCAGGAAUUCCUAGUAAUCGUAGCUCAUCAGGCUGCGAUGAUUACGUCCCUGCCCCUUGUACACACCGCCCGUCGCUGCUACCGAUUGGAUGAUCCGGUGAAAUCCUCGGACUGACGUAAUUAUCUAGCUGCAAGGUUAGAUAUUAUGUUGGGAAGUUGAUUAAACCUUAUCAUCUAGAGGAAGCAAAAGUCGUAACAAGGUUUCCGUAGGUGAACCUGCAGAAGGAUCA